AACGAACGCUGGCGGCAUGCCUAACACAUGCAAGUCGAACGAGACCUUCGGGUCUAGUGGCGCACGGGUGCGUAACGCGUGGGAACCUGCCCUUAGGUUCGGAAUAACUCCCCGAAAGGGGUGCUAAUACCGGAUAAUGUCUUCGGACCAAAGAUUUAUCGCCUUUGGAUGGGCCCGCGUUGGAUUAGCUAGUUGGUAGGGUAAAAGCCUACCAAGGCGACGAUCCAUAGCUGGUCUGAGAGGAUGAUCAGCCACACUGGGACUGAGACACGGCCCAGACUCCUACAGACGGCAGCGGUGGAGAAUAUGAGAGGAUGGCAGCAAGCAUGAUCAAGCAACGCCGCGGGAAGGAGGAAGACCUUAGAGUUGUGAAACUCUUUUCGCCGGGAUGAUAAUGACAGUACCGGGUGAAUAAGCUCCGGCUAACUCCGUG
rnacentral:rRNA from 1 species